rnacentral:rRNA from 1 species
CCUACGGGAGGCAGCAGUGAGGAAUAUUGGUCAAUGGACGAGAGUCUGAACCAGCCAAGUCGCGUGAAGGAUGACUGCCCUAUGGGUUGUAAACUUCUUUUAUAAAGGAAUAAAACGAGGCACGUGUGCCUUUUUGCAUGUACUUUACGAAUAAGGAUCGGCUAACUCCGUGCCAGCAGCCGCGGGAAUACGGAGGAUCCGAGCGUUCUCCGGAUUUAUUGGGUUUAAAGGGAGCGUAGGUGGGUUGUUAAGUCAGGUGUGAAAGUUUGGGGCUCAACCGUAAAAUUGCAAUUGAUACUGGCAGUCUUGAGUACAGUUGAGGUAAGCGGAAUUCGUGGUGUAGCGGUGAAAUGCUUAGAUAUCACGAAGAACCCCGGUUGCGAAGGCAGCUUACUAGACUGUAACUGACGUUGAGGCUCGAAAGUGUGGGUAUCAAACAGGAUUAGAUACCCGAGUAGUC